rnacentral:misc_RNA from 1 species
GCAAACUUGGUCAUUUAGAGGAAGUAAAAGUCGUAACAAGGUCUCCGUUGGUGAACCAGCGGAGGGAUCAUUAUCGGGUCUCUGUAACAACCCGAAAACCAUACGUGCACCUACGAUUUUGAAAAUUUCGCUGCGGCGGGCCGCUCGCUGGGGGAGCCGCCGGGCCGUAAGGCUGGCCCGCCAAUGCAGCGAGAGCAUUUUAGCUCUGAACUGAAGCCGAGGCGCUCUGGAAAUUUCUUCUGAAGCACUACGUCAGCCGCCCCGCGAGGGGUACGGCGAAACGAAACUAGUCACAACCCAUAACGAUGGAUCUCUUGGCUCUGGCAUCGAUGAAGAACGCAGC